GUGGGGAAUCUUGCGCAAUGGGCGAAAGCCUGACGCAGCCAUGCCGCGUGAAUGAUGAAGGUCUUAGGAUUGUAAAAUUCUUUCACCGGGGACGAUAAUGACGGUACCCGGAGAAGAAGCUCCGGCUAACUUCGUGCCAGCAGCCGCGGUAAUACGAAGGGGGCUAGCGUUGCUCGGAAUUACUGGGCGUAAAGGGCGCGUAGGCGGACAGCUUAGUCAGAGGUGAAAGCCCAGGGCUCAACCUUGGAAUUGCCUUUGAUACUGGCUGUCUUGAGUUUGGGAGAGGUGAGUGGAACUCCGAGUGUAGAGGUGAAAUUCGUAGACAUUCGGAAGAACACCAGUGGCGAAGGCGACUCACUGGCCCAAUACUGACGCUGAGGCGCGAAAGCGUGGGGAGCAAACAGGAUUAGAAACCCUGGUAGUCC
rnacentral:rRNA from 1 species